rnacentral:rRNA from 1 species
AUUGAACGCUGGCGGCAGGCCUAACACAUGCAAGUCGAACGGUAACAGGAAGCAGCUUGCUGCUUUGCUGAAGAGUGGCGGACGGGUGAGUAAUGUCUGGGAAACAGCUUGAUGGAGGGGGAUAACUACUGGAAACGGUAGCUAAUACCGCAUAACGUCGCAAGACCAAAGAGGGGGACCUUAGGGCCUUUUGCCAUAGGAUGAGCCCAGAUGGGAUUAGCUAGUAGGUGGGGUAACGGCUAACCUAGGAGACGAUCCCUAGCUGGUCUGAGAGGAUGACCCGCCACACUGGAACUGAGACACGGUCCAGACUCCGACGGGAGGCAGCAGUAGGGAAUAUUGCGCAAUGGGCGCAAGCCUGAUGCAGCCAUGCCGCGUGUAUGAAGAAGGCCUUCGGGUUGUAAAGUACUUUCAGCGGUGAGGAAGUGAGUAACUUUUAUACCUUUUCUCAUUGACGUUACCCGCAGAAGAAGCACCGGCUAACUCCGUG